GGGCGGACGGGUGAGUAAUGCCUGGGAAAUUGCCCUGAUGUGGGGGAUAACCAUUGGAAACGAUGGCUAAUACCGCAUAAUAGCUUCGGCUCAAAGAGGGGGACCUUCGGGCCUCUCGCGUCAGGAUAUGCCCAGGUGGGAUUAGCUAGUUGGUGAGGUAAUGGCUCACCAAGGCGACGAUCCCUAGCUGGUCUGAGAGGAUGAUCAGCCACACUGGAACUGAGACACGGUCCAGACUCCUACGGGAGGCAGCAGUGGGGAAUAUUGCACAAUGGGCGCAAGUGAUGCAGCCAUGCCGCGUGUAUGAAGAAGGCCUUCGGGUUGUAAAGUACUUUCAGCAGUGAGGAAGGUGGAUGUGUUAAUAGCACAUUCAUUUGACGUUAGCUGCAGAAGAAGCACCGGCUAACUCCGCGCCAGAGCCGCGGUAAUACGGAGGGUGCGAGCGUUAAUCGGAAUUACUGGGCGUAAAGCGCAUCAGGUGGUUUGUUAAGUCAGAUGUGAAAGCCCGGGGCUCAACCUCGGAAUUGCAUUUGAAACUGGCAGACUAGAGUACUGUAGAGGGGGGUAGAAUUUCAGGUGUAGCGGUGAAAUGCGUAGAGAUCUGAAGGAAUACCGGUGGCGAAGGGGCCCCCUGGACAGAUACUGACACUCAGAUGCGAAAGGUGGGGAGCAAACAGGAUUAGAUACCCUGGUAGUCCACGCCGUAAACGAUGUCUACUUGGAGGUUGUGGCCUUGAGCCGUGGCUUUCGGAGCUAACGCGUUAAGUAGACCGCCUGGGGAGUACGGUCGCAAGAUUAAAACUCAAAUGAAUUGACGGGGG
rnacentral:rRNA from 1 species